AUUUAAUCUUAAUUUAAUCCUAAUUAAAAUCCUAUUGGACUUCAUUCAAAAUUUAGACCAAAAAUUAACUAAAUCUUAAAUCUAAAAGAAACUCAAAUAAAAUCUUAAACCCUAAAACAAACCCUAAUCAAACCCUAAAUUCUAAAUCAAAAUCUAACCAAUCCUAAACCAAAUCCUAACUAAAUCCUAAUCUUAAAUCAAGUCCUAACUAAAUCCUAAUUUUAAAUCAAAUUCUAACCAUCCCUAAAUCAAAUCCUAAAUCCUAAAUCAAAUCCUAAC
rnacentral:lncRNA from 1 species